CAAAAUGAACUUGGUGUCAAAGGGAAGGAAGAAGACUUGUUUUGAAAUUCCUUUCCCAAGACUAUUAAUCUACUUGGGAACGGGCUGUGGCAGUGAUGGCAAGUCCAUGAAAAGCCUGAGUUUACUUCCUUUGGCUCUGGAGUCAUUGCAGAUGGUUGGGAAAAAGCACUGUGCUAAGUCCUAUACAAAUAUCUCAUAUUAUGCUCACGACAACUCUGUAGGAAGGAUGAAACCUGGGACAGAAAAUGUGCAUAGCAUAUCCCACACAUGCCAGAUCUACAUGAACAGUGAACACAAAAUCAUGUGAAGAGCAUAUAAGCAACAAAACCAGCAUUCCUAGGUCUCUGGGAUCAGUCAAUAAACAUUUGUCCAGUGUCUAUUUUGUUCCA
rnacentral:lncRNA from 1 species